UACGGGGGGGGCAAGCGUUGUUCGGAAUUACUGGGCGUAAAGGGUUCGUAGGUGGCUUGCUAAGUCAGACGUGAAAUCCCUCGGCUCAACCGGGGAACUGCGUCUGAGACUGAUGAGCUCGAGUGCAGGAGAGGAACGCGGAAUUCCAGGUGUAGCGGUGAAAUGCGUAGAUAUCUGGAGGAACACCGGUGGCGAAGGCGGCGUUCUGGACUGCAACUGACACUGAGGAACGAAAGCCAGGGGAGCAAACGGG
rnacentral:rRNA from 1 species